ensembl:lncRNA
GGUUCAUGAUGAUACAGGACCUUGUCUGAACAAAGUGAUUUCAAAAUUUGAGCUUAAAAUGACAUUCUGAAAUCCAGUCAAUGUGCCUCAUUACUUUUCAGAGAACAUUAUUCUUGAGAGAAUGUUGGCUUGACAUGUGAAAACUUUGAAUACUUAGAAAUGGCAGGUGUAGUAGUACACUUUGCCAGUUACUCAGAUACCCCUUUUUUAUUUUCAUAGAUAUUCUGGGAUAAUUCCUUUUUUUUUUUUUUUACUAUAUAUAUGUGCAUGCUGAUGAAAGCAAAAAAGAAAGCACAUCCUUGGAUCUGAGAAGGCACGCGUGUGGUGAGAUGGAAGCAAGGACACGCAAAAAGGAAAUUUAGCACCUCUUGGAUCAGACCUUGAAUGCCACAGUGCUAGGUGUUUAACUGAUGUCCAGGAAGGAGAGAAACUAAUAUUAUGAUGAAAUACAAUGAAUCUGGUGAUGACUGAAUAGGAAACUGAUGCCAUUUCUUCUGACACCAUCUUCAUCAAACCAAAAGAUGGUCUUCAUAAUGUAUGGAGACUCUUUCGUGUGUUGCAGUGGACACUCCUUGCAGAUCAGAAAAACCGGACUGAGAAAGCUCAUGUUUUAAAGUAAUCUAAAGAGUGUAAUUGGAGAGAAUUGUAACCAGGCCUGUUGACAGUUUUCAUUGUUGCCAUUGGACUAAAUCUCAGGAGCUUGAAUGCCAGAGACGUUAUUACACAGAAUCUCAGGAUGGUGUAAUUGCAAGGCUUCAUUUCAGUGUUCCCAUAAGUAUUAAGUGCAUGUAUUUAUAAUUUUCACUUAUCACAGGAUCAACUUAAAAUUAUUUCAUAAAAAAUCAUCUUGUUCAAGAUUUUAAAGGUAUAGAAAUUUGUGAAGUAUGGUAUUUUUAACUCAUGCCCUUUUCCCCUCAUAAUUCUAUUCUCCAGCGUUAUCUACUGUCAGUGUAGUUUUGUGCACAUCUUUUUGGGGUGUGUUGAUAAACAGAUUGAUAAUGCAACUCUCUUUUUGGCCCAUAUUAUGUCUAUAAAUUUUCUAUGCCGUAAAAAGGCAUACAGAUAAAUUAUUUUGAUAAUUUCAGAGAAUUGGAACUGCUAGGACUAGGGAUGUCCAAAAAUUUAUGUUUUGAGUCAAAACUACAGCUUUCCCCCUAAUCAUAGAGAGAGAGUCCUCAUCACUAUUGUCUCCCAGUGUUUGUUCAUGAGAGUUCUGUUUCGUAAAAUGGUACACAUGUUAGAUGUCAGUGUUUUAAUCGUUAACAAUGCGAUAUUACGAAGAAAUUGCUUUUUUUCUUCUCUUGUUUGUCUCCAUCAUCUUCGUAUAUCCUUAAUCCUUACUAGUCAUUUGUGUUAUUUCAUUUUCCUCUGCUUUUUGUUUUUUUCCAUUUCCCUUGGAGUAUGAGUGUCUUUGUUGCUCAUUUCUAAAAGCUCAUUUAUAACUAAAGAUGUUAACCAUAUGUCAUGCAUUGCAAGUGAAAUACCAUGUUUUCUUUUCGGCAUCAUUUUACUGUGGUGUUUUAUUUUUUGGUUGUACAAAAGUUGUGUAUUGAAAUACAAUAAUGUUCUGUUUUAUGCCUUUUGAGUUUUGUGUUUUUCUUUUAAGAACAUGUUUGCAUUAGUAUCAUACAUUUCUUUCUCUGUAUUUUCUAAUACUUUUCAUUUUGUCCUUUUAUUUUUCCAUUAAUCAUUACCAUGGUAUUUAAAGUAUUACAUACUCAAAUUGUUUCCCUUGACUUAAGGAAUUACUGCUUAAUUUAAAUUCUGUAAUGAUAUGGAAAUUCCCACAUGAUUGGCUACAUUUCUAUUUAUUUGCUUUAUCUUAUAUUGAUACUUUAAAAUUACCAAUGGUUUCUAGUCUUAGCUAUUCCAUUGAAUUCUCUCAUUUCUCGUAAUUUUUCAGAAUAUUCCCUGUCUACACUCAAAUUUUUUCCCUCAGUUGACGCUUAAAAUUAUUUUCCAAGUUGGAAAAAAAUGCAAUUUUAAGUUCAUUUGCACCAAAUUUAAUAGAGUAAUUAGGAGAGAAUUAGAUCUCUUUAACUCAGCCUUCCUAUCCAACUGCAAGGUAUGUGUUUCUAUUUUUAAUUAAAUUAUGUGGGAAUAUUGCUAGUGUAGUUUUAUUUUCUUAUUUUUUGAUUAAUCCCAACUCAUCUCAUACUUUUGUCAGUGUAGCGAUGGGGAUCAUACACUCAGUUUUUCUUAUUAAUAUGUGAAAGCCA